ensembl:lncRNA
GCCGCUGGCAAUGAAUAAUCUCUGCUGUGUGUUUCUGUAAUUUGCAUAUUCUGGAUAUUUCACGUAAAUGACAUUAUAGUAUAUGUUAUCUUUUGUAUCUGAUUUUUUUCACUUAGCAUAAUGUUUUCAAGGUUCAUGUUUGCUGGAGCACAUACUAGUGCCUUAUUGUUCCUUUUUAUGGUUACGACUCCAUUGUAUGAAAAUACCACGUUUAUCUAUCCAUUCAUCAGUCGGUGGACUUUUGGGUUGUUUCCACCUUUGACCAUUGUGAACCAUGCUGCUGUGAACAGUGCUCUACCGGGAUUUGUUUGAACACCGUUUUCAGUUCCUUUGGAUGCAUACGUAUUUAAAUGCUGGAUCAAAGUGGUGACUCUUCUUUUUGAGAACACUUGGGCUUCUCUGGUAGCUCAGCUGGUAAAGAAUCUGCUUGCAAUGCAGGAGACCCUGGUUCGAUUCCUGGGUUCUGGAAGAUCUGCUGAAGAAGGGAUGGGCUACCCACUCCAGUGUUCUUGGGCUUCCCUUGUGGCUCAGUUGGUAAAGAAUCCACCUGCAAUGUGGGAGACUUGGGUUCGAUCCCUGUGUUUGGAAGAUCCCCUGGAGAAGGGAACGGCUGCCCACUCCAGUAUUCUGGCCUGCGGAAUUCCAUGGACCGUAUAGUCCAUGGGGUCGAAAAGAGACAUGACUGAGUGACUUUCACUUAACUGUGGAUAGGCUGGAUUCAUUUUGUGUCAGCAAUGACAGUGGUUGGUUUUUUUGAUGAAUGAGUCCUAUCAUUCGGUUUGGCUUCUGUGUCGUCUUAACAGGUUCCAGUCAUCCUCUGGGCACUGACCGGUGUAACAGGGUGCUCCAUGCAUGCUCUUCCACUGCAGGGGCACAGAUUCCAUCCUUGGUUGGGGAACUAAGUUACCUCAUGUCCCGUAGCACGGCCAAAUAAUAGAGAAAAAUAGACAAAUACACAUAACCAAGUGCUCCAAGCUCACCUGGAGCUUUCCCUGAAAUCCUUUGUCCCAGGACCCCUGGUUCCUAACUGCAGAGAAAGAGCUAAAGCUCUGGGCUCUGGAUAUCUCCUAUCCUUUCCCUCCCUGCCCUCCCCGGGGGCCAGAGAUUCCCCAGGACUGUGGGAGCUUGGACGACAUGGUCUGCGUGUUGGGAUCGGUUUUCCCAUCUGUGAAAUGGGGGCUGCAGUAGGCAGAAGGGUGGCCCCAAAGAUCUAUACGACGUAAUCCUCGGAAACCUCAUCAGGAAAGACGAUCUUGGCAAUUGUGAUUAGGGACCUGGGAUUGGGGAAAUUAUUUUCAGUUAUUUGGGUGGACUCUGAAUGUUAAUUCACAUACACUUUCACGAGAAUGAGGCAGAGGGAAGUUUGUCAUCUGUCUUAGUCGGUUCUAGGUACAAAAACAAAAUAGUGAUACUAUAGACCAAGGCCAGAAAUUUGUUUCUCACAAUUCUGGAGGCUGAGAAAUUGAAGAACAAGAUGCCCACAAGGUAGAUUUCGUUCUGAGGCCCCUUCUCUUGGCUUGGAGAAGGCUGCUGUAUGGCUUUAUGGUCACAUGACCUCUUCACUGUGAUCACAGCAAGCUGUCUGGUCUUUCCCCCCACUUAAAAAAAAAAAUUGUUUUUGGCCACUCCUUGUGGC